rnacentral:rRNA from 1 species
GCAAGUCGAGGGGCAGCAUAAAUUACUUGUAAUUUGAUGGCGACCGGCGAACGGGUGCGUAACGCGUAUGCAACCUACCUUUUACUAGAGAAUAGCCAAGAGAAAUUUUGAUUAAUGCUCUAUACACUUUAAGACUCACAUGAGUCUAAAAGAAAAGCUCCGGCGGUAAAAGAUGGGCAUGCGUUCUAUUAGCUUGUAGGUGAGGUAACGGCUCACCUAAGCUUCGAUAGAUAGGGGUCCUGAGAGGGAGACCCCCCACACUGGUACUGAGACACGGACCAGACUUCUACGGAAGGCAGCAGUAAGGAAUAUUGGACAAUGGAGGCAACUCUGAUCCAGCCAUGCCGCGUGAAGGAAGAAGGCCCUAUGGGUCGUAAACUUCUUUUAUACAGGAAGAAAUCUUUCCACGUGUGGAAAGUUGACGGUACUGUAAGAAUAAGGAUCGGCUAACUCCGUGCCAGCAGCCGCGGUAAUACGGAGGAUCCAAGCGUUAUCCGGAAUUAUUGGGUUUAAAGGGUCCGCAGGCUGUUUGUUAAGUUAGAGGUGAAAUCCUACCGCUCAACGGUAGAACUGCCUUUAAAACUGGCAAACUUGAGUUAUUGUGAAGUAAUUAGAAUGUGUAGUGUAGCGGUGAAAUGCAUAGAUAUUACACAGAAUACCGAUUGCGAAAGCAGAUUACUAACAAUUAACUGACGCUGAGGGACGAAGGCGUGGGUAGCGAACAGGAUUAGAUACCCUGGUAGUCCACGCCGUAAACGAUGGUCACUAGCUGUUUGAUGUA